rnacentral:lncRNA from 1 species
GGAACGACCUGGGAAGUGGAAGGAUCUGAAAAUGUUGUGCAUGAAGUGGCCCGUUGGCUGUCCAAUGAAGUGUCUGUUAUCAGAAGGAAAUGUGUACUUUUUGAGGAGUGUGGAGAUGAAUAAGGCCCAGUUCCGACAUCUGGGAUUUUGACUCUCCAGGCAAGAGGACAGGAAAAAGAUGUUUGGCUUCUAUGAACUAAUUCACUGUCCAGAGCAUCUUGGCAUCUGGCUGCUGCUGAGGAAAGAGGAGGAUGUUUGUGUGUGUGUGUGUGCACAUGCGCCCGUGUGUGCGUAUCUGAGGGAAGCUAAAUAUUACAUUUCAGGGCUUAGUCCUUCCAUACUUUGAAUUUAAUAUGUAAUUAUGAAUAAACAUGGAAACGUAAAAACAAAACCAC